GACCGGGAAGAGCUCAAAUUUGAAAUCUGGCGUGCUCAGUGCGUCCGAGUUGUAAUCUAUAGAGUCGUUUUCCGUGCCGGACUGUGUCCAAGUCCCUUGGAACAGGGUAUCAAAGAGGGUGAUAAUCCCGUACUUGACACAAUGACCGGUGCUCUGUGAUACGUCUUCUACGAGUCGAGUUGUUUGGGAAUGCAGCUCAAAAUGGGUGGUGAGUUCCAUCUAAAGCUAAAUAUUGGCGAGAGACCGAUAGCGAACAAGUACCGUGAGGGAAAGAUGAAAAGCACUUUGGAAAGAGAGUUAAACAGUACGUGAAAUUGUUAAAAGGGAAACGAUUGAAGUCAGUCGUGACUGAGAGGCUCAGCCGGUUCUGCCGGUGUAUUCCCCUCAGUCGGGUCAACAUCAGUUUUGUUCGGUGGAUAAGGGCAGUUGGAAGGUGGCACCCUCGGGUGUGUUAUAGCCAGCUGUCGCAUACAUCGGAUGAGACUGAGGAAUGCAGCUCGCCUUUAUGGCCGGGGUUCGCCCACGUUCGAGCUUAGGAUGUUGACAUAAUGGCUUUAAACGACCCGUCUUGAA
rnacentral:rRNA from 1 species